GGUGGGUGGAUGCUUCCUCUCCUUCCGGGUCCUCACUUCCCCGAUUGCCGAUUGGGUGAAACCCUAGCCACCACUCCCCGUGGCGCCCCUCUCCUCCACUCCCCAUCGCGCCCCCUCUCCUCCAAUCCCCGCAGCCGACGACGAGGUCUCGCCCUUCGCCGAGCUUGCCACCACCGCUGCUCUCCCCUCGCCAUCGCCGGGAGGAGUGUGUAGGCCGCCGCUCGCGUCGUUUCUCCGCAGCCGCCACCGCCCCCUUCCCUUCCAAGCCCGCGGAGAUGACGGCGCCGGCGCUGGCGCUCGCGGUGGUCGGGUACUGGGACUGAGUCGCCGCCGCCACAUCAUCUUCUCCUCCUCCCCAACACCGCAUGAGUGCGGGUCGCCGUCGCACCAGAUGAGGUGGGGCUACAACCACGCCCCCUUCACCUCUUCUACCCAGCCGUGCCACUCGGGACGACAAGAUCCAGCCAUGGCGGCCGAGAUCCAGUUGGCUGCCAUCGAUAUGAGGAGCGCUCGCGCCGCUGCUCCGCCGUUCGUCGUCCACUUGGCCGCAACCAUGCACAAGAAGAGGUGAUGUCACGGCAGCAGGGUCCUCACCUGUCUCCGCUCCCUCGUCUCCCCCUUCUGCUGGCAAGGGUGCUGAGCAGCAACAGUUCCAUCUCCCUCCCCAACGCGUCAUUGCCUCAUCUUGAGCUGCAAUGAACCAGAGGUGCCAAGUCUCUCCUUACUCUUUCAUGGCGAAUCCAUUUUUAUUGUCACAUGUUUGAUGGUUUUCUCCUCUCAGCCCAGAGAAAGAGAUUUGAUGUGAUGAUUGAGGUAGAAGGCAUGGAUUGUUUGGGGCUUCUCUGAAAUAAGCGUCUCUAAUGCAGGAAAACAACAUGAAUGAGUUUAAGAGAUUUAAUGAAGAGAUGAAUACAGUCGGAGCCUGGGAUUUUUAUACACAGAGAUGGUGCAUAAAUAAGCAAAACAAAAAAUGCGCCAAUGCUUUGCCAGAAUUUCGUUGGUCCUCUCAAAAUUGUGGGGAAACCAAGAUUGAAUUUAGAGAUGUUUCAUAUGCUUGGCCGUUGACACACCUCUCUUCAAGGCAAGGUCAUUUCCAAGGUGAUUACAGCGCUAGGACCUGCCCCUGAUAAGAACCAGGGCACCCGUUUAAACAGAAUGAUGACUGUGUGAGGCUUAAAAUAUCGCCAUCAUAGCAGGGGUGAUGCUGUCACUUCCAUGGUCCACCAGAAUGAAGAUCGCACUCAGUGCUGCAAGGGGGCUUGCCUUCCUGCACGAAGCUGAGAAGCCAGUUGUCUACAUGGAUUCAAGACAUCCAACAUAUUGCUCGACGAGGAAAACAACAUGAAUGAGAUUAAGAGAUUUAAUGAAGAGAUAUGCCAGGAUGAGGCGGAGUUGAUGAAAGGCUUUGUAAAAGUCAGAUAAUUGGUUGAACUUCUUUUGGAAGAGGCAGCAGGAAGCAUAGAAGACAUGGUGCCAUGGAGAUUCAAAGUACGGAAAGAUGGAAGAGUGUCCCGGACAAAAGGACCAAGUUUUGGCGGGUGGGCAUCGGGAGUCCAGUUGGUUGGCUUCAGCCUUUGAGGUGUUGUCGGCUAGCGGCGCCGCUUCUGAGUGUCUCCUCAACUCACUUCCGUGGCACCUUUAGCCGGUAAGAUUUCCCUUUCUCUCUCUAUAACGUCCUCGAUGCGGCUAUAGCUCCCACGUGUCGAGGCACGACUUAGAGACAUAACCGCAUUGAAAGCAAUGUCGCAAGUUAGGCAAUCAUCACAACAUCCCAUGUAAUAUAAAUAAUAAAGGGGAGAUAUAUAGUUGGCUUACACUCGUCACGUCACACAAAGUACAUAAAUAGCAUUAUAACAUUCAAACACUCAUGGCCCGACUACGGCGCCAAAAUAAAAGAUAACCCAACAUGCGACACGGUUCCGAUCAUUCCUAACUAGGCACCACUACUCAUCAUCAGGGAAAGACACGUAGUAUUGUUGAGAGUCCUCGUCGAACUCCCACUUGAGCUCAAGCGCGUCACCUGGAGCGGAAUCAUCAGGCCCUGCAUCUGAUUUGGAAGUAAUCUGUGAGCCACAGGGACUCAGCAAUCUCGCACCCUCGCGAUCAAGACUAUUUAAGCUUAAUAGGUAAGGCAAGGUAAAUAUGUGGAGCUGCAGCAAGCGACUAGCAUAUAUGGUGGCUAUCCUGCUCGCAAAAGAGAGUGAGAAGAGGAGGCAAAGCGCGAACGAGUAAGUAGAGAGCAUCCUGCGGCAAGCAUUACUUCAACACCGUGUCCACUUUCCGGACUCCGUCGAGAAGAGGCCGUCACGGUAACUCACCCGAUUGAUUUAUUUUAAUUAAGUUAAGGUUUAAGUUGUCUACAACCGGACAUUAACAAAUUUCCAUCUGCCCAUAACCGCGGGCACGACUUUCGAAAGUUCAAAUCCCUGUAGGGGAGUCCCAACUUAGCCCAUGACAAGCUCUCACGGUCAACGAAGAAAUAGACCUCCUUCCGAGACGUUCUGAUCAGACUCGGUACCUCGGUUCUUCAAGACACUUCGACAGGUUAAAACAAAUCCAGCAACACCGCCCGAAUGUGUCGACAAAUCCCGAUAGGAGCUGCACAUAUCUUUUUCUCAGGGCACACUCAGAUUGU
rnacentral:rRNA from 1 species